AAUGUGUUUGUUUGUCUAUAUGUGGCCCUGUGAUAGACUGGCAUCCUGUCCAGGGUGUACCCUGACUCAAGCCCUAUGACUGCUGGGAUAGGCUCCAGCCCCCCCACAUUACUCUUAAUUGGUGUAAGUGGUUGAUGAGGAGUAUAUUUAAUGUUCAA